UACGAGGGGGGCAAAUGUUGUCCGGAUUUACUGGGCGUAAAGAGCGCGCAGGCGGUCGUUCAAGUCGCGUGUGAAAGCCCCCGGCUCAACUGGGGAGGGUCACGCGAUACUGAUCGACUCGAAGGCAGGAGAGGGUAGUGGAAUUCCCGGUGUAGUGGUGAAAUGCGUAGAUAUCGGGAGGAACACCAGUGGCGAAGGCGACUACCUGGCCUGUUCUUGACGCUGAGGCGCGAAAGCUAGGGGAGCAAACGGG
rnacentral:rRNA from 1 species